rnacentral:rRNA from 1 species
AGAUUGAACGCUGGCGGCAGGCCUAACACAUGCAAGUCGAGCGGCAGCACGGGUACUUGUACCUGGUGGCGAGCGGCGGACGGGUGAGUAAUGCCUAGGAAUCUGCCUGGUAGUGGGGGAUAACGCUCGGAAACGGACGCUAAUACCGCAUACGUCCUACGGGAGAAAGCGGACGGGUACCGUUCGGGCCUUGCCGACUAGUCA